CCUCAUUUUCCUCCCAGCACUUAAUCUUCUCUGAAAUAACCAUAUUCUUUGAUUGCUUUUGGUCCUGUGUUUUCCCAACACCGAGAAAGGCUCUCACAAUCUCUAGAUUUGCACAAAGGUGGGGCUUUCUCUGUUUUUAUUUGAUUUUUUGUUGUUUUAUUUUUUAAGUUUUGUUUUCUUUUUUGACUCCGCAAGGGUCUGGGCAGUGCCUGGCCCACAGUAGACUCCUAAGAAGUGUUCACUGAGGGGCAAUUAGGAGGUGCUUAGUGGCUGCACCAGACCUUCAGCAUCCUAGACCCCUGGCUCUGACACUUACUGCUUAAGAAUCACCAGGGCCACUUACUGAAAAUGUACAAUCCUGAGAGCCGGACUUACUAAGUCUGGGUUUGGACUUGGAAACAUGCAUUUUUAACAAGAUCUCCACUGGGUUCUGAUGCCAGUGUCCUGGAGGGGGCCACACUUCAUGAUAAGCUAUCAUCCCAACCCACUCAGGGAAUGGCAUGGAGUCCAGAAUUGCUAUUGGAACACUGCCCUCCUCGGAGGCUCCUGCCUGCUGGAGGCGUGGUGGCCUGAUGAUUGGCAUCACUCCUGUAGCUUGAGGGUCCAGAGUGUGGACUCACAUGGCGCUUCAGACCCUUCUCUGAAGCCUGACUCUUUGGGGGCAGUGCUGCAGAUUGACAAAGGGUGUUUCUGCACAGGCCUGACUCACACAACACUGGAAUGGGCCGGGAAGGAGCCUCCCGGCCAGACGCCCACUUUGGUACCAGCCCUGGGUUAUGUAACUCCAGAUGCCUGUGACUAACCCAUGGCCCCGAGGGCAUCUCUGGGUGGGGAAAAGAUGAGGGCUGACUUCUCCAGAAUUUAAAACGAAACAUCUCAGGACUAUUUAUAAAAGCACAGGACACACUAGGGGGAAGUUCAGAUAAAGGCCGUGGAGGGGUGCAGACAAGGAAAGGGAACCAGGAGGUGUACUUGCAAACUUGACCUACUAAAGGCAUGGCUUCCAGAGCUCUGAGGACAGUUGACCUUCAAAACAACGAUUGACCUUGGGGAAAGGAUGAGUCACAGAGGCUCCAGGGCCUGGUUCCUGCUGGCAGAGCUUCCAGCCUCUGAGUCCCAGAGUGUUCUCUCCUAGGAGUGAAACAUGUACUUGGUAGAUGUCGGCUGCCUCCACCAAAUGCAAAAACGCAUCUCAUCCUGUGAGCUGACCUUGCUGGGGGCACCGUCUGGGAGUCGUUUUUGAUUAGAAGUUGACCUCAGAAAUAUGCUCACAUCAUUUUGAAAGCAUCUUCCAGCACCACAGAAAUCGACUCAGAUGGAGAAAGGACACUGAGUGGACAGGGGCCAGGAUGGGGCGUGGACGCUCUGCCUCUGCCGGGGACAAGGCCUUCCCACAGACUCCCUGGGGUGUUGCCAGCCUGAGUCAGAGGUAGGAGGCCAGCCCUGUCGAGCCCCCAUACACUUAUGUAUUGACCUGGGGCCAGUGCUGUGGAUGGCAAUGACCAUCAUCAUCACCAUCGUCAUCAUCAACACUAGCUACUAUUAUCAAGUGCUUAUUCCAACCCACAUGGUUUCUAAGGGAGUCACAUGAAGUGACCUCACAUCAUUCUCACAGCAUCCUGCCAGGCAGGUACCAUUGGCGUUUGCCAUCUGAGUAUUAUCACCAUCUGAGGUCCCACUCAGGAGCUGGGCAUGUCGAUAUUGAUGUAAUGCCUACCGUGUUCCAGACACGCUGCGAGGCCCUGGGGAUGCAGCCACAAUCCCAACAGAUCUGAUGCCUGCUCUCAUGGAACUGACUUUGCACUGGGGGGAGGCCAACUCCACGAAAACAGAAACUGGAUGACACAUUGGAGGGAGAGCAGUAAAAGGAGCAAGCAGAGAGCAAGAACAACAGUGUUGCCAUGGGGCGGGUGGGCCCGCUGUAGCCAGGGAGGGCCUCUCCGAAGGUAUAACAGGUAAGCUGAGCCCUGGAUGCUGAGAAGGACCAGCCUCAGGAGCAGGGCCCCUCUGCAGCAAUGCCUAGUACAGAGGCUUAGAGAAGACAUGGGCACGUGCACCAGGCAUCCCAUGGGCAGGGCUACCUGAGUUCCAUAUGUGUGUGGAGAGGUCCCGCAGGGCCUGGGUGCGUGACGAGGAUGAAUAAAGUGGGUGGAGGGUAAUGCCACAGUGAGGGGCAGAUGGUGGCCAGUUGACAACACGUGCCCCCAUCAAAGAGGUGGUUGCUACUCAGCUCUGACUCAUGGUCACCAAAAAGGAUGUGGGGCGAGUGUGGCCAGAUCAUCUAGUUCUUCAAAAGAAAGUAGAAAUCUAAACAUUUUUUUUUUGGUAAAGACAUCUGAAUUUCAAGUGCUUUUAUUAAAAGAAGCAAAAAGAGGCCUGGCACGGUGGCUCACGUCUGUAAUCCCAGCACUUUGGGAGGCUGAGGUAGACAGAUCACUUGAGGUUGGGAGUUCGAGACCAGCCUGGCCAACAUGGAGAAACCCCGUCUCUACUGAAAAUACAAAAAAAAUUAGCUGGGCAUGGUGGCAGGUGCCUGCAAUCCCAGCCACUCGGGAGGCUGAGGAGCGAGAAUCACUUGAACCCGGGAGGCAGAGGUUGCAGUGAGCUGAGAUCACGCUACUGCACUCCAGCCUGGGUGACAGAGCAAGAACCUGCCUUAAAAGAAGAAGAAAAAAAAAAAAAAAAACACUGGGUGGAUGAAAAAAAAACAUCCCCAAGCCAGGUCCAGCCUGCAGGUCACCAUUUUGCAGCCUUUGGGUGGAAAGCCGGAUUGGACUGCAGCAGCCUAGUACUCAAGGAGAGGGCACGGCAGGGAGAGGAGACAGCAGCGGAAAGGCCUGAGCUGGGACAGUCGAAGAGCUGUGAGCGGCUUGCUAUGGCUGAAACGUAGUUUGAGUGUGACCACAAAACAUGGCAGACUGUGACCACAUUGCAAGGAUCUCGGAGGCUUGGUAAAAGGGUUCUCUUCCCCGGAGAUGUGGCACAGUGUCCGAUCCCCGUGCCUUUCCUCAUACAGUGCCCUCCCCCCUUUCUCCGCAUGUCUACGUUCUGACUCUAGUGCCACUUUUUCCACAGUCUCCCUGGUCCCCCUCCCACCCACCAUCAAGAUGGGAUCUCUCCCUCCUGGGAGCACCUACUGCACUUUGCUUUCAUUCAUUCAUUUUUUAAAAUUAAUUAAUUAAUUGGUUUAUUUAUUUUGAGAUGGAGUCUCACUCUGUUGCUCAGGCUGGAGUGCAACGUCACGAUCUCGGCUCACUGCAAACUCCGCCUCCCGGGUUCAAGCAAUUCUCCUGCCUCAGCCUCCCAAGUACCUGGGAUUAUAGGCAUGCGUCACCACACCCAGCUCGU
rnacentral:lncRNA from 10 species